rnacentral:rRNA from 1 species
CGGGGUGAGUAAUGUAUGGGGAUCUGCCUGAUGGCGGGGGAUAACUACUGGAAACGGUAGCUAAUACCGCAUAACGUCGCAAGACCAAGAGGGGACCUUCGGGCCUCUUGCCAUCGGAUGUGCCCAGAUGGGAUUAGCUAGUAGGUGGGGUAACGGCUCACCUAGGCGAUGAUCCCUAGCUGGUCUGAGAGGAUGACCAGCCACACUGGAACUGAGACACGGUCCAG